rnacentral:piRNA from 1 species
UACAAAUUCACUGUUGUCUUAACGCUUUGGU